rnacentral:lncRNA from 1 species
ACUUGCCUGCCUGCCCAACUCCCUCUCUGGACGCUGAUAAUCCCCCAAACAGUGCCCUGUGACCACAAAGUGAUGGGACUGAUCUCCCAGAGCCAGAUCUGGAACUCUGUCUUGUUACUUUUCAGUCACUCUAGGCAUGUGAUGCACUUUGAACAUCUUAGAGGACAGAGAGGUCAAAAAGGUGUCCAUUUUUACUUCAACUACUAAAACCUGUUAAUCCUGAUUAGAAGAGGGGGAGAGAAGGGAGUAAGGACAAGAAGAAAAAGAAGAAAAGGAAUGAAGGCAGGAAGGGUUGGUGGACAGUUGGCUACUAGUCACAGAUAAGCAAGAGGUCUGGCUCCUAAUUUAUAUUAGCUUAAACCCAAAACAUUUCCUCCUUUGCUAGGAUGCUCUACCUUUCUUAAGAUAAGCUUUACAUUAUUUCUGAGGGGAGGAGGGAUAACAAGUUGAUUUAAAAAGUUUUCCUUUAAACUGUGGAAACAAGAAGUCCUUAGCAAUGCCACGUCUUGCCCUGACAUUCUUCAAAGCUCUUUAUGUUUUAGCCUCAUGUUGAAUUCACUUUUACAAUUUUUGUUGCUAUAAUAACAACAUGGCUUUCUUUCACUCCUUCAAUUUUCAAGUUGCUUUAUUCACUAUAAAUCAUCUCAUCAAAAUAUCUAGGUUUUUCCCAUGUGAAGAAAAACAUUGGGAAAAAUGGGGGAUAGAAAUUUAACCAUUAAAUUCCACCUCUCCCCCAACUCUGUCAGCAGCCGCCAGGACCAAACACAGUGCAUCUUCCAUGCCCUACUUAGCACAACAGACACCACCAUCUCAAAUUAUUUGCUGGGGGCAAUUCAGGCUUCCACCUGAAGAACCUGGAUAAGUGCCCACAGCCGCUGGCUGCCCAUGGCCUCUCAGAAAAUAAAUGCCUUCCAGGGUAACUUUCUGUUCUUUCUGUGUGAAUGAAACUCACCAGUCCCGGAAACUGUUUACACACAUUUGGUAGGUCAUUCCUCCCUUAAAGGGAUGUGAAUAAAAAGCCAGAGAAAAGGGCUCUUUCUCUCCCAAAGUUUGCUGAUUGUCUCUCUCCUGGGCCACCUGACUCCCCUUAGCCUUGUGCCUUUGUACAGCUGGUGUUGACAUCAGGUUAAUUACACGGUCCUGUGUUUACACGUGGGUCUCCUGAAAGGCUAGCAGCAAGUUAGCUGUGCGGAGGCAAGUUGCAAAGCUCAUUUCAUUGACUUGCCCUUACGUCUGAAAUGGACUUUUCCAAUAGUGACUGGUGAAUGAUUCACAGGCAUCCCUAGGAGACAAGCACAUAGCAUCAUCCCUACUUUGUCAACAAAGAAAUGGGCCAAAGUGGGAGCUGCUGGUCCAGGGGUGCACAACAAGUGUCUCAGCAACAGGGUCAAGUGCUACUCUUGAGGCUAGGCUCACAUUCAUCUGCUCCCACCCUGGGUGGCUCUACUGCCUCUGGACAACACAUACUCUUGGGGUAUCUUGCAAGCUUGACAGGGAGAAAACAUUAAUAUACAUAUGAAAAAUGAAGCACUGGUUGAGGGCUAGCCCCUUAGCUCUCUAAAGGCUCUAGCUCUGUAUCAGAACGACUGUGGGCCAGCCUUUCGUGCCAUAUGCAAAUGAAGCUUCUUGAAGGCAGGAAAUGAUGAUGUUUUCUUGGCUGCUCUAUCCCCAGGGCCUAGACCCAUGCAUGGCUCAGGUCAGUAGGGACUCAAUAAGUACUAGAUGAGUGAUGAAUGAACCUUGACUACAUUAUGUUAGCCACUGGGGAUAACAGCUGGGCCUUGCCUUGUUGGUACCCCUGAGAACCCUGCACUCCUCUUACCCACCUCAGUGAGAAAGGACAGUCAGUCACAAGCCUAUUUAUAGCCAUUCAUAGAAUGGCCUCUAUGCCACAGACAAAGUACAAAUAUAUAGAGGUCAGAUGAUUUGUUCACACUCCCUCAGCUAGGACAAAAUCUCAGAUCUCCUGACUUGAUACCCCACACUGGGUUUUAAAAUACAGUUUUGCCUCAGGGUUAGGCUAUAGCUAUAGCCACGCUGGCUGUCCACAGGUCCUGGACUGAACAGUUAUGCAGAAGAUUUAGAAACUACAGAGAAAGCCCUAUCCUUACCAUUGUGCCCUCAGCCCUGGAAAACUGAGUCGACACACAGGUUGCUAUGAGAUAUCAUUUGAAGGGCAGACAUUGUGAAGACUAAGCCAGUCUUGGCAAAAUGAGCAUUUGUAAGGGGCAACUCAAUUAGAGGGUAUUUUGUUUCAGAAACAAUCUUGGUGGUUCAUAUGAGUGGGAAUCUAACAGUGCUCCCCAUUUCACAUGCUAGGAAGUAUGUGUUUCUCUCCUCCUCUUUCUUCAGGAAACUUAAUUGUAGGAAAAUUCUUAUUUUCUGGAUAGAAAAUCCAAGGCAGGCAGAUAGAUAUUUGACAACUUCCAUGGAAAUAUAUUGGGGAAUCUUACUUAUGGCAGAAUUCUAGCAUUACCUCUUUUCAGAGUCUUGUACAUUUCUUAAAUCCAAAUGUGUAGCUCAUUUUUCUGUGAAGGGUAUUUUACAAAAGAGCUAGGGAAAAUAUACUAAGUGAAAAAGUAUCAACCCUUUGGAUCAACUUUGGUCCUUAUAUCUUAGAAAUCAGGUGAUUCAAACAAACCCCAAAAUGCCUCUGGUCACUCCCAAUUCUACAUUGUCUUUUCUU